rnacentral:rRNA from 1 species
UACGUAGGGGGCAAGCGUUGUCCGGAAUCAUUGGGCGUAAAGAGCGCGUAGGCGGUCCGGUAAGUCCGCUGUGAAAGUCGGGGGCUCAACCCUCGAAUGCCGGUGGAUACUGCCGGGCUAGAGUCCGGAAGAGGCGAGUGGAAUUCCUGGUGUAGCGGUGGAAUGCGCAGAUAUCAGGAGGAACACCGAUGGCGAAGGCAGCUCGCUGGGACGGUACUGACGCUGAGGCGCGAAAGCGUGGGGAGCGAACAGG